rnacentral:rRNA from 1 species
UAGCCGUAGAGUAGCACAGAGAGCUUGCUCUCGGGUGACGAGUGGCGGACGGGUGAGUAAUGUCUGGGAAACUGCCUGAUGGAGGGGGAUAACUACUGGAAACGGUAGCUAAUACCGCAUAACGUCGCAAGACCAAAGAGGGGGACCUUCGGGCCUCUUGCCAUCAGAUGUGCCCAGAUGGGAUUAGCUAGUAGGUGGGGUAACGGCUCACCUAGGCGACGAUCCCUAGCUGGUCUGAGAGGAUGACCAGCCACACUGGAACUGAGACACGGUCCAGACUCCUACGGGAGGCAGCAGUGGGGAAUAUUGCACAAUGGGCGCAAGCCUGAUGCAGCCAUGCCGCGUGUAUGAAGAAGGCCUUCGGGUUGUAAAGUACUUUCAGCGGGGAGGAAGGUGUUGUGGUUAAUAACCGCAGCAAUUGACGUUACCCGCAGAAGAAGCACCGGCUAACUCCGUGCCAGCAGCCGCGGUAAUACGGAGGGUGCAAGCGUUAAUCGGAAUUACUGGGCGUAAAGCGCACGCAGGCGGUCUGUCAAGUCGGAUGUGAAAUCCCCGGGCUCAACCUGGGAACUGCAUUCGAAACUGGCAGGCUAGAGUCUUGUAGAGGGGGGUAGAAUUCCAGGUGUAGCGGUGAAAUGCGUAGAGAUCUGGAGGAAUACCGGUGGCGAAGGCGGCCCCCUGGACAAAGACUGACGCUCAAGUGCGAAAGCGUGGGGGAGCAAACAGGAUUAGAUACCCUGGUAGUC